AAAUGAAAUCCCUUCAUUCAAAUUGAAUCACUCUAUUUUACUAAAUAGCUCUCAAUAGAUUGAGUAUUGAGUUUCUAAUGAAAUGGGUAUGCAAAUGAAGAAUCAAUAGGCUAAAUCUGCACUUUUUUCCUUUAUAAUAGUUUAUAUAUUUAUAUAAACUACUUGCAGAGACCAAGCUGCCUUUCAAACACUGAUAUUUCCACUUGUAUCUGAUUUUUGAUUGAGAGGGUGGGGUAAUCAAGAGGAAAACGAGGGGUUCGAGGAGUUCAAAUUGGUGAGGUAUGCGCUAGUCAAUUUUGCCGAGGUAUCUUCUUGUCACUUGGCAGGUACGUGUGGCUGGGCGAUACUCAGGGGGGACUUGGCACGGAUGCGUUGGAACACGAAAAUCGAUCAGGGUUUUCUCUGAAAUGGAAACAGAGAUAAUGCAAGCAGUUGAUAAUCAAAUUGAAUAAGAUUUUGAUAGAUUGCAAAGACAACUGGAAUCUAUCUUUUCAUCAAAAUUUGAGCUGAUUUGGGCCAGAAUUGAUCAAGUUAUUUGAUAAACAGUAGGGAUUCUGCUGCUGCAGGCACCCAAUCACCUUUUCUCAAAUAUCUCUCUCAAAUCUUGGUCAAAUCUGUUCAAAUUUGGAGCAGUUAUUGAUAGAGGCAAUA
rnacentral:sRNA from 1 species